rnacentral:tRNA from 1 species
GUCAGAAUAGCUCAGUGGUAGAGCAUAUGCUUCGUGUGCAUGAGGUCCUGGGUUUAAUCCCCAGUUUCUCCA